rnacentral:lncRNA from 1 species
ACUAUUUGAAUGUGUGUUGCUCCUUGUGGCAGGUAUACUGUUCCAAUGCCCUGGGAUCUCUGUAGUGGUCGGUACUGUAUUGAUUAUAAAUGGUGAAGUCCUAGUAUCUUGCUAGAGUGAGCUGGCCAGGAUGGUGGAGCUCUACCACCAUUUCACAGGUUAUAGACAGGGGCCACCAGGUUUCAGGAAAGCAGCAAUGACCCCUCAGUAAUAGUUGGAAAGUGUGAUAUGACACUGAGCUUCACUGUGUUGGUGAAGAAGAGCUGCAGUUUGCCUCCACCUCUGAAGAAGCACAAUACACCUUUCUGGGUUACCAAUGGGAUACUUCCCAACAGCUUUGUCAUCACAUACAAUAUUCUCAAACAAGAUCUUAAUGGCAUCUACUUUCUCCAGGAACACAGCCCCUGACCUGUGUGUGUUUGCGUAGAGAAGGCAUGCUAUGUACCCCCUAGGAUAUAGCUUUAGCCUGCAUCUCACACGCUCCAGUUUGAAGCACGUGUCCUGUCCUCUCUCGGUGUGCCUGGCUUCAUUAAGGAAUCCUCAUUUUUGUAGCACUCAUUAAAACUGACAACUUA